rnacentral:rRNA from 1 species
AACGAACGCUGGCGGCAGGCUUAAUACAUGCAAGUCGAACGGGCGCAGCAAUGCGUCAGUGGCAGACGGGUGAGUAACACGUGGGAACCUUCCUCGUUGUACGGAACAACUCAGGGAAACUUGAGCUAAUACCGUAUAAGUCCGAGAGGAGAAAGAUUUAUCGCAAUGAGACGGGCCCGCGUCGGAUUAGGUAGUUGGUGAGGUAACGGCUCACCAAGCCGACGAUCCGUAGCUGAUCUGAGAGGAUGAUCAGCCACACUGGGACUGAGACACGGCCCAGACUCCUACGGGAGGCAGCAGUAGGGAAUCUUGGACAAUGGGCGCAAGCCUGAUCCAGCCAUGCCGCGUGAGUGAAGAAGGCCU